rnacentral:rRNA from 1 species
GAACGCUGGCGGCAGGCCUAACACAUGCAAGUCGAGCGGUAGCACAGAGAGCUUGCUCUCGGGUGACGAGCGGCGGACGGGUGAGUAAUGUCUGGGAAACUGCCUGAUGGAGGGGGAUAACUACUGGAAACGGUAGCUAAUACCGCAUAACGUCGCAAGACCAAAGUGGGGGACCUUCGGGCCUCAUGCCAUCAGAUGUGCCCAGAUGGGAUUAGCUAGUAGGUGGGGUAACGGCUCACCUAGGCGACGAUCCCUAGCUGGUCUGAGAGGAUGACCAGCCACACUGGAACUGAGACACGGUCCAGACUCCUACGGGAGGCAGCAGUGGGGAAUAUUGCACAAUGGGCGCAAGCCUGAUGCAGCCAUGCCGCGUGUGUGAAGAAGGCCUUCGGGUUGUAAAGCACUUUCAGCGGGGAGGAAGGCGUUAAGGUUAAUAACCUUGGCGAUUGACGUUACCCGCAGAAGAAGCACCGGCUAACUCCGUGCCAGCAGCCGCGGUAAUACGGAGGGUGCAAGCGUUAAUCGGAAUUACUGGGCGUAAAGCGCACGCAGGCGGUCUGUCAAGUCCGGAUGUGAAAUCCCCGGGCUCAACCUGGGAACUGCAUUCGAAACUGGCAGGCUAGAGUCUUGUAGAGGGGGGUAGAAUUCCAGGUGUAGCGGUGAAAUGCGUAGAGAUCUGGAGGAAUACCGGUGGGCGAAGGCGGCCCCCCUGGACAAAGACUGACGGUCAGGGUGCCGAAAGGCGUGGGGGGAGCAAACAGGAUUAGAUACCCUGGUAGUCCACGCCGUAAACGAUGUCGAUUUGGAGGGUUGUGCCCUUGAGGCGUGGCUUCCGGAGCUAACGCGUUAAAUCGACCGCCUGGGGAGUACGGCCGCAAGGUUAAAACUCAAAUGAAUUGACGGGGGCCCGCACAAGCGGUGGAGCAUGUGGUUUAAUUCGAUGCAACGCGAAGAACCUUACCUGGUCUUGACAUCCACAGAACUUUCCAGAGAUGGAUUGGUGCCUUCGGGAACUGUGAGACAGGUGCUGCAUGGCUGUCGUCAGCUCGUGUUGUGAAAUGUUGGGUUAAGUCCCGCAACGAGCGCAACCCUUAUCCUUUGUUGCCAGCGGUUCGGCCGGGAACUCAAAGGAGACUGCCAGUGAUAAACUGGAGGAAGGUGGGGAUGACGUCAAGUCAUCAUGGCCCUUACGACCAGGGCUACACACGUGCUACAAUGGCAUAUACAAAGAGAAGCGACCUCGCGAGAGCAAGCGGACCUCAUAAAGUAUGUCGUAGUCCGGAUUGGAGUCUGCAACUCGACUCCAUGAAGUCGGAAUCGCUAGUAAUCGUAGAUCAGAAUGCUACGGUGAAUACGUUCCCGGGCCUUGUACACACCGCCCGUCACACCAUGGGAGUGGGUUGCAAAAGAAGUAGGUAGCUUAACCUUCGGGAGGGCGCUUACCACUUUGUGAUUCAUGA